rnacentral:rRNA from 1 species
AUUGAACGCUAGCGGGAUGCUUUACACAUGCAAGUCGAACGAGUGGCGGACGGGUGAGUAAUAUAUCGGAACGUGCCCAGUAGCGGGGGAUAACUACUCGAAAGCGUGGCUAAUACCGCCUACUAUUGGAGCGGCCGAUAUCGGAUUAGCUAGUUGGUGGGGUAAAGGCUCACCAAGGACACGAUCCGUAGCCGGUUUGAGAGGAAGACCAGCCAAACGGGGACUGAGACACGGCCCAGACUCCUACGGGAGGCAGCAGUGGGGAAUUUUGGACAAUGGGGGAAACCCUGAUCCAGCCAUCCCGCGUGUAUGAGAAGGCCUUCGGGUUGUAAAGUACUUUCAGUCGGGAGGCGUUACCGACAGAAAAAGCACCGGCUAACUCCGUGCCAGCCGCCGGGGUAAUU